CGAGGCACCUGGGCGGCCGCUGUGCGCUUCGAGUCGUGGCUUCGGCCGUCGGCGAGGAUCGCGCGGAGGAAAGUCCGGACUCCACGAGUCAGGGCGGUUGCUAACGACAACCGGCCGUGAGGCUAGGGAAAGUGCCACAGAGAACAGACCGCCCGGCGCCACUUCGGUGGCGUCAGGUAAGGGUGAAACGGUGCGGUAAGAGCGCACCGCGGUCCUGGUGACAGGGCUGGCAGGGUAAACCCCGCCCGGAGAAAGACCGCGUAGAGGGACCGGCGUCGACUCAGCCCAGGGUCCCCGGGUAGGUCGUUAGAGGCCGUGCGUGAGUGCGGUCCCAGAGAAAUGGUCGCCACCCCUUCGGGGGUACAGGAUCCGGCUUACAGGGUGGCUCGCGUC
rnacentral:RNase_P_RNA from 2 species